ACGUACGACCAUAGGUCGCAGAAUAUAGGGCUUCCCGUCCGCUCAGCCGAUACUCAAGCUGCGAACCGGCCAAUUAGUACUCAAGUGGGUGACCAUUGGGGAAUCCUGGCUGUUGUACGUU
rfam:Neofusicoccum parvum TCRNP2 chromosome Tnknown NP2_03_scaffold_940, whole genome shotgun sequence.